rnacentral:rRNA from 1 species
AGAUCUUUUCCUUUGUGCUGGCUUUGACCGUAUGUAAUUUUGGGACUUAAACAUGGUAGCUUUUUUGUUACCGGUCCCAAAAACAAUUAUAUCAUCCUUAUGAAAAACUUACUGAACAACUAAACAAUGAUUUUAAUAAUCUGUUUAAAACAACUUUCAACAACGGAUCUCUUGGUUCUCGCAUCGAUGAAGAACGCAGCGAAAUGCGAUACGUAAUGUGAAUUGCAGAAUUCAGUGAAUCAUCGAAUCUUUGAACGCACAUUGCACUCCUUGGUAUUCCGAGGAGUAUGCCUGUUUCAGUAUCAUGAGCACUCUCACACCUAACCUUUGGGUUUUGUUGUGGAAUUGGGAUGCGCCGAUUUCAAUAGUCGGCACUCCUAAAAUGUAGUUCUUGGCUGUUUCCUACUACAGCAGUUUGGCCUAAUAGUUUUGACUUUUGUCAAAUCUUUGGCUACAUUUGCUUCUGGAAAUCAGUUUUGAUAAUACAGAAAACUCAUCA